AUGUCCCCUUCGACACUGCUCGUCCGGCCGCCGGCGCCGGCGAAUCCGUCCCUUCCGCCUCGCCGGUGCGGGCCCGUAUCAGCAGCGGCGGCGACGCUCCGCACGUCUCCUGCCGCCUCAUCCGUGGCUCAGUUCUCUAGGCUGCGCACCAAGUGCAGGUUUGCUGCCCCCGGUGUUAGAGAAGAUUACUCUUCUACGCCAAUCGAUGUUGUAGCAGACGUGAAAACAGAAAAGAUUGUAGUGUUGGGAGGUAGUGGAUUUGUUGGUUCUGCUAUAUGCAGAGCUGCGGUAGCUAAAGGCAUUGAGGUUGUGAGCCUCAGCAGGUCAGGAAGACCAUCUUACUCUGAUCCUUGGGCUGAUGAAGUUACUUGGCUAGCAGGAGAUGUUUUCUAUGCAAGAUGGGAGGACGUGCUAGUAGGGGCUACUGCUGUUGUGUCUACCCUUGGAGGAUUUGGUAAUGAAGAACAGAUGAAAAGGAUAAAUGGUGAAGCAAAUACCAUAGCAGUGGACGCUGCGAAAGAAUUUGGGAUCCCGAAAUUUAUUUUGAUCUCUGUUCAUGAUUACAACCUUCCAUCCUUUCUCCUUACCUCGGGCUAUUUCACUGGUAAGAGAAAGGCUGAAUCUGAAGUCCUCUCCAAAUACCCAUCCUCAGGUGUUGUAUUGAGGCCUGGGUUUAUUUACGGUAAAAGGAAAGUCGAUGGCUACGAGAUACCGCUCGACAUCGUAGGGCAACCACUAGAGAAGCUACUUUCCUCUGUCGAAAAUUUCACCAAACCAUUGAGUGCAUUGCCUGGUUCGGACCUGGUCCUAGCACCCCCUGUGAACGUGGACGAUGUCGCCUAUGCCGUGAUCAACGCCGUCAUAGAUGACAGCUUCUUCGGAGUGUUUACAAUCGAGCAAAUCAAGGAAGCUGCAGCCAGUGCCAGAGUGUAG
rnacentral:rRNA from 1 species